rnacentral:rRNA from 1 species
AUCCAGACUCCUACGGGAGGCAGCAGUGGGGGAUAUUGCACAAUGGGGGGAACCCUGAUGCAGCGACGCCGCGUGGGUGAAGGAGUAUUUCGGUAUGUAAAGCCCUAUCGGCAGGGAAGAAGAAAGACGGUACCUGACUAAGAAGCCCCGGCUAACUACGUGCCAGCAGCCGCGGUAAUACGUAGGAGGCAAGCGUUAUCCGGAAUGACUGGGCGUAAAGGGUGCGUAGGUGGUUUGGCAAGUUGGUAGCGUAAUCCCGGGGCUCAACCUCGGUGCUACUACCAAAACUGCUGGGCUUGAGUGCAGGAGGAGUGAAUGGAAUUCCUAGUGUAGCGGUGGAAUGCGUAGAUAUUAGGAAGAACACCAGCGGCGAAGGCGAUUCACUGGACUGUAACUGACACUGAGGCACGAAAGCGUGGGGAGCAAACAGGAUUAGAUACCCGAGUAAC